rnacentral:sRNA from 1 species
GCUGGGUAUGGUGGUGCACACCUGUAAUCCCAGCGGCUCAGGAGGCUGAGGCAGGAGGAUCGAAAGUUCAAGGACAGCCUCAGCAACUUAGCUAGGCACUAAGUAACUCAGUGAAACUCUGUCUCUA